GCCCCAUCUGGCGUGAGGCCAAGGAUGUCGGGAGCACCUGUCUUGUAAACAGGCGGUCGAGGGUUCGACUCCCUCAGGGGGCU
rnacentral:tRNA from 1 species